ensembl:snoRNA SNORA21 small nucleolar RNA, H/ACA box 21
CCCCUUUUAAAAGCACUCGGUGGGCCUUGACUAGUGACCUACUGAGCCGUCAAGGAAGGGUAGAGUAAAAACACUGCUUUUGGGUGAAGCAGCAGCGUGUUGUGUUGUUUUGCUUCAAUCGGUGGUGUGACAACG